ACUCAAAGGAAUUGACGGGGGCCCGCACAAGCAGCGGAGCAUGUGGUUCAAUUCGACGCAACGCGAAGAACCUUACCUGGGCUUGACAUGUUGGUGACAGCCGUGGAAACACGGUUUCCCUUCGGGGCACCUUCACAGGUGGUGCAUGGCUGUCGUCAGCUCGUGCCGUGAGGUGUUGGGUUAAGUCCCGCAACGAGCGCAACCCCCGUCCCAUGUUGCCAGCGGAUAAUGCCGGGGACUCAUGGGAGACUGCCGGUGACAAACCGGAGGAAGGUGGGGAUGACGUCAAGUCAUCAUGCCCCUUAUGCCCAGGGCUACACACGUGCUACAGUGGCCGGUACAGAGGGCUGCGAUGCCGUGAGGCGGAGCGAAUCCCAAAAAGCCGGUCUCGGUUCGGAUUGGAGGCUGAAACUCGCCUCCAUGAAGCCGGAGUUGCUAGUAAUCGCGGAUCAGCAACGCCGCGGUGAAUACGUUCCCGGGCCUUGUACACACCGCCCGU
rnacentral:rRNA from 1 species